GUAGCGGCGAGUGAAGCGGCAAAAGCUCAAAUUUGAAAUCUGGCGCCUUCGGUGUCCGAGUUGUAAUUUGAAGAUUGUAACCUUGGGGUUGGCUCUUGUCUAUGUUUCUUGGAACAGGACGUCACAGAGGGUGAGAAUCCCGUGCGAUGAGAUGCCCAAUUCUAUGUAAGGUGCUUUCGAAGAGUCGAGUUGUUUGGGAAUGCAGCUCUAAGUGGGUGGUAAAUUCCAUCUAAAGCUAAAUAUUGGCGAGAGACCGAUAGCGAACAAGUACAGUGAUGGAAAGAUGAAAAGAACUUUGAAAAGAGAGUGAAAAAGUACGUGAAAUUGUUGAAAGGGAAGGGUUUGAGAUCAGACUCGAUAUUUUGUGAGCCUUGCCUUCGUGGCGGGGUGACCCGCAGCUUAUCGGGCCAGCAUCGGUUUGGGCGGUAGGAUAAUGGCGUAGGAAUGUGACUUUACUUCGGUGAAGUGUUAUAGCCUGCGUUGAUGCUGCCUGCCUAGACCGAGGACUGCGAUUUUAUCAAGGAUGCUGGCAUAAUGAUCCCAAACCGCCCGUCUU
rnacentral:rRNA from 1 species